UACGUAGGGUGCGAGCGUUGUCCGGAAUUACUGGGCGUAAAGAGCUCGUAGGUGGUUUGUCGCGUUGUCCGUGAAAUUCCCUGGCUUAACUGGGGCGUGCGGGCGAUACGGGCAGACUGGAGUACUGCAGGGGAGACUGGAAUUCCUGGUGUAGCGGUGGAAUGCGCAGAGUAUCAGGAGGAACACCGGUGGCGAAGGCGGG
rnacentral:rRNA from 1 species